rnacentral:rRNA from 1 species
UACGUAGGGGGCAAGCGUUGUCCGGAUUUAUUGGGCGUAAAGAGCGUGUAGGCGGCCAAGCAGGUCCGCUGUGAAAACUCGAGGCUCAACCUCGAGACGUCGGUGGAAACCGUUUGGCUAGACGCGAAGAGGAGAGUGGAAUUCCCGGUGUAGCGGUGAAAUGCGCAGAUAUCGGGAAGAACACCCGUGGCGAAGGCGGCUCUCUGGGACGGUACUGACGCUGAGACGCGAAAGCGUGGGGAGCGAACAGG